UACGUAGGGCGCAAGCGUUGUCCGGAAUUAUUGGGCGUAAAGAGCUCGUAGGCGGCUUGUCACGUCGGGUGUGAAAGCCCGGGGCUUAACCCCGGGUCUGCAUUCGAUACGGGCUGGCUAGAGUGUGGUAGGGGAGAUCGGAAUUCCUGGUGUAGCGGUGAAAUGCGCAGAUAUCAGGAGGAACACCGGUGGCGAAGGCGGAUCUCUGGGCCUUACCUGACGCUCAGGCGCGAAAGCUAGGGUAGCAAACGGG
rnacentral:rRNA from 1 species